GGAGGUGCUGCCGGGCCACCACUUGCACUGCUCAAAUGGGGAAAAAAAAUCCUUGUGGAUUCAUGUUGCACCCUCCUUUUGGAGGCCCAAAAGAGAGUAAUUAAUUUAAAUUACCCAGCUGAAAUUAACCCAGGUUGCAUAGGUUCCCAUGAUGAUCUGAGUACUAUCCCUUAAGAGGGAGAGUCACCAGGAUCUAGAAGGAAAAGUGAUGUGAGUUCUCAGAAAGGACAUGGGUGGAGGGAUUUGGGUAUUCAGGAGAAGAAAGGUAGUCUGACAAGAGAGUGAUUGAAUCAGCCCCCUUGAUACCUGGGAGUGACAGAAGGUUCUUUGUAAUAGGAGUCUUCUUGUCAUGGAUCAUCCUGAGGGACAGUUUUUGAUUGCAAGCUGAUGAGGCUACGUCAAAGCUUCCCAACGCUUUGGAAACCCAAAUCCAUUACUUUCUUACACAGAAAAAUGUCAUAACUAAAACCUGAGGGCAACUAACAUAUAUGCUUUGGAAGUUUGGAACAUUGUUUACUGCAGUGACUGCUGUGACCUAAGCAGCCGAGCCUGUAUCACCAGAACACUUGAGGGCUAACAUACUUAUCUGAGAGUUGUGUUGUUUCUUAGUUCUAAAGAAUAAACUGAAAAAGACUUUAAGGUAACUGACAUUUGGAGAAAAACAAAACAUACAAGAUGAAGUCCUAACUACUCUGAAUGCUCCCAUUGACUCCAAGCAUAUUCCUGCUGUAUUUUUGUCACUCAUCCUUCAUUUUCAGAAUUAACACAUCUCUUUGACAAAUUCAAA